AAUGGAUACAGAAAAUGUGGUACAUUUACACAAUGGAGUACAACUCAGCUAUUAAAAACAAUGAAUUCAUGAAAUUCUUAGGCAAAUGGAUGGAACUAGCAAAUCUCAUUUCCAAAGAAGGUUAGCUGUUUGGUCUGAUUAUUUUCUCUUUUAAAUAAAAAAAAAAGGUUAUCUAAUAAGGGUCAAGUCAUUUCAUGGUGGCUUUCUCAGUUUGCUUAUUUCUUUUUCCAGAGCAAGUAGUUUCUCAGACAUUAACUUGAGAAAGUCAGCCACUGCCCAGUUAUUUGAUCCUUCAUUUGAGUGAAAAUACUCCUCUAAAUUCCACUUGCUUUAAAGACUUUGAAGCAUAUGUCUCUUUUAUAUAUUAAUGUUUCUUUUUACUUUAAAAUUUUUGCUUUAUAAAAACACAACUCAAGACCAAAGUAAAUUUUUAAUUAAAAAAAAUUGAAGUUACUUCAGAUAUGCAUUCAAAAAAUUAUGAGGUAGUUGCAUAAAGUGGAACUUUAAAGGGAGUGCAUGCAGUUGACUUAAAGAGAGAAAGAGGAGAACAGGAAGAGAUAAUGGGGAUUCCGUAUCUGCCAUCUUUCAUGAGCUGUAAGGAUUUGAGGAGCAGGAAAGCCAAGCAUGUAAUUGACAUGCCAAUUCAUUCCUAGGGAACUCAUUACUUAAGGCAUAAAAAUAGUGCUAAGCAUGUACAUAUAUGUCACUAUAAAAUAGAUUUUGUCCUAUAUUUACAUAUGUAAUUUUGUGAUUUCUUUGUUUUUUUUUUAUAAAUAACCACUAUAAUAUACAAUUAAUUUGAGAAUUUAUUGCAUUUGCAGCAUAGCUAUGUCUAGCCUUUGUCCCUGUAGUGGUAACAUAGUUUGCAUUGGACAUUUUUCUGGAAUGUUGGAGGACAGAGUAUGUCACAGAGAUCGCCCUCAAAGUUAAGAUCAUCUUGCCUGAGCUUCACCCUCGCAGUACUGUUGUUUCAGUUAUGUAUUAGCAUGUUUGGAUUUGCUGGAUUGAUUUAUAUACAUUUAUAGAUUACUAAUUUGAUUGAUUUAGUAUGAAUUACUAUAAAGGUUAAAUUUGGAAGUAGCCAAAACUUUAUAGAUGGUCAAAAUACAGAAGUCUAAGGACAUUUAGGUACUCCGGAAUAAGAGCAAAGGCAAAACUAAACAACAACAACAACAGAAAAACACACAAAUAAAAACACUCAUGUUCAGAAGCAUACCUCAGGGAAAAUUUUAAGGCGCUUUCCAGGUGGUUAACGGAAACUAUACUGUUUGUAAUGAAGAGUUCUCUCAUAAAUAUGUUAGCAUGGUACUGGUCAUGUAAAUUGUAUAGAACAACUGCCCUCCAUGCAAAGUGAAGGUCAUGCAUGGGUCACCCCAAAGGAGAGUCAACAAAGAGUGCCACGCUGUCCAAUGACCAUCGGAGAUGCACUCUAAAGGAAGCUUUGUGCGAUUUCCACACAGAUGGCUGCUGCAGAGUAUAAAUAAGAAUGAGCAGAAGGAGGAGGAGAGAGCAGAGAGAGCUCUCUCUGGGGGAAGAGCAAGUUCAUAUCCAUUCAGAGGAAGCUCUCAUCAGUCUCAUCUCUAUCAUUCUUUAAUGUCUAGACCAUGGAAAAGGUGAACUAGAGGAACCUUCGGUUCUCAUCUGUAACUGAUGAAAUCACACACUACACUUUUCUAAAAAUCUAACCAACCCUUUAGCUUUCCCAUUGCCUUUGCUGUCCUGUCAUUUUGACAGUAAGUUGCAGUGUUUAUCUAGCUUUCUAAGAUGAGCUACAUGAGGGACAAGCUACAGUGUUUCAGUAGAGCGCAGGAAGUAAAGGGGAGGCAGGAAAGUUUUCCAACCUGCCCUUACAUCUUUGAAAUUUACUCUAGUAACUUUUCACAGUUGUAUUGGCUCCUUGUCCACCUUGCCUUGCAAAAAUUCCUGUCAAAGAAAGAAUUAUAGAAUGAGAAACUGAUUAAUUCCUGCCACAAACUGUCAUGUAGCUUUAGAAAACUAUGCUUGGCUCAGGUGACUGUAGAAGCUGUCUCUAUAUUCUGUUGCCCCUUGAGUAGGGCUCAAACUCUCUUCCUAGGUAUCAAAGCCUUUCGUACAUAUUUUAAGUCCAGGCUUAGCAGCUUCAGUCACCCUCCUGCAUCUCUUCUCUUUGUGCCCAGACAUAUGGAUCUCAGGCAGGGAUAUGUGCUGUUUCCCUAAUAAGAUAUGGAACCCCCCUGCUUCUCUCAAGAGCUCGCUCUCCCUGGAUUGCUUAUAUUCUUCAUUGUAGAUGAUUUCUAUUCAUCUCUUUAGUGAAUCAAAGUUGCUUAAAUUGCUCAAAAUUAAAAACCAACCAUUGAGAACUUUUUCUUCAAGAAGUCGGCAUUUACAGAAAUACCUAUGGCAGCAAACUUUAUAAUAAUUAGAAAAAAUUAGGGAAAAUUUAGAGUUCCUAGUCAGAUAUUUCCAUAUUACAGCUAAGGAAACUGAGUUAUGGAGAAAAAGAUGUUAUCCAAAGCUAUAUAGUUCUAAAUUAAAGGAAUAGGGUGUAUUUCUUUUUUAUGUGAGUCUCCGCAGUGGUGAUUAGAGCAGCCUUUGAUUCAGAGAGUUCUCAACCUGACCUUGAGAAACCUGUUACCUUCUCUGCAAUUCUAUUUAAAACUGAGGAUAAAAAUACAUGAUCCAGAGAAGUCUCCAUCUCCUGGUAAGUCUGUAUACCAUGCAUCCUUGCUUGCGGAGAGACCUGGAGCUACUAGUAGAGCAGAUAGCCAUGGGUCAACAUGGGCAGCAGAUGUAGACUUAUUGAGUGCUUCUAUUUAAGUGUGCUGUCAGGGCCUGGUUAUUUGGAGCUAGUUAAUCAACUGAUGUGUGUUUACUUUCCCACUGAUAAAUUAAAAUGAUUAGCUUGUUUAAAGCACUUUACUGUGUUUGAAUAGAAAUUUCUUUCGCAGACUUUAAAUACAACAAUGAAGCACAAAGUAAAACUGCCACUAUGAUAGAAGCUCCCUUCUCACAGGACACACAGCCAGUCAACAGACAGACUCAUGGCCCCAAUGACACCCAAGUCUUAGUGUUUACCCUAUCUUCUUAAAUGUUCUUCCCAUAAAUGUGUCAGGGUGAGUUCCUUCUGUGUGCCAAGUUCAUACUGAAAACUUGUGUAUUUUGUACUAAGUCUACUAUCAUUUCAUUUCAUACUCUCUUCUCCACACUGUUAUUUGAAAUCUUUAGUCCUUGUGGCUUGACAGACUAUGUGUAUUACUCCUUUCUUACUGGCUUGUGGUUGGUGUGUACCAAAAUUUUAGGGGGGAAAGCUUGACAUAUCUCUGCACAUAUCUGUGCAUAGCUCAUCUUAUAUAUACAUAUAUUAUAUAUAUUUUAUAUGAUAUAUUGUAUAUAAGAUUGCAUAAUUUAUGGACAAUGACUCUAUUAAUAAUUAUAACUAAUAAUCAAAAUAUCUAAUAUAAUGGCCUGUGGUAAUGUAUGGUCUUGAGCACAGUAGAAUAGAGUCAAUUUAUUGUUAGAAGGGUAGGACUGCUAUUUCUUUUGAAACAGUGGGCCAAGCCACCAAGGGUCAUGCAGGAUCAGAGGCAUGAAGGAAGGAAGAAAAGCCGGUCCAGGAUUCUAAACCAAAGAUGGCAUGUGCCAAGGGACUAAGGGUGCUCUCUGCCUGGCAUGCUCUGCUAAUGGCAAGGACAUCUUGCAAACAAAGCAGAGAAGACAGAGGCAAGAGGGAAAAAAUCAACAAUAACUAACAAAUAUAGAGAGUUCAUGUCAUCCAUGGACUUUGAUUUGAGAAGAUAGCCUACCAAACAGAGGGGUAGGAGCUACUGAGAGGUUGUCCAGGGAUUCAGUGCAAGAGAUUUAUCACAAUACUAUCACAGUGAAGGUAUAUGUGAUGGUGACAGAGAGAGAAAAGAGCUUGCCACUGUCUUCCUAUCUGUGUGAUUAAUAACCACCACAGCAAACACAAAGACUUCCACACAGGAUUCAGUAUAAAAAAGGAGCUGUGCAAAGUUCUACUUAGAGAGUACACACAGAUGAAUAAUGAGACAGUUUAUAGUCUCAUUGUAUAAAAUGUCAACUGCAUAAGGUAGCAUCCACACAUAAUCUGAAAGAUCAUUCCAUUACCACAGGUUGAAAAUUUUUACUCAAUUAGAAUUAUUUUAAAUGCUGAUUCAUUGAAAUAACAAUGAUUUCCCACCAUGGAUACUAUAUUAUGACCUGUUUGAGCAGUGUGAUCAUACCCUACCUCUUCAAAAGGAACUGCCUGGGAGCAAAUGUCUUGCAGAGCUGGACCACCUAGAUCUCUUGGGUAUAUUUUCAUACAUACCCUAAGCAAGAAGACAAGAGAUGAAUAUAAAAUUUAUGCUCUAGUGUAUAUAUUUAUUAAGAUUAUUUCUUAUUAAUUUCUACAUUCACCACAUUUUCUGUUUUCAAUAAAGAAUAACGACACCUAAAAAGAGAAACAUCUCAACUCACUUAGCAUCCCCCUGCGAGGUGACCAGACUUUCUAUAUUACCACAAGGCUUCCAAAAGAGGAAACUACUGCCCUGGAAGUUUUUAGAUCAGAGGCCAUGCCUGCACAUCAUUCAAUUCUUGUGUAAUAGUGAGCAUAAUACACCUAGAAGAUUUCAUGAAAGAAGAAAACAUAUACUGCAUUUAGGUUCGAUAAGUGUUACAGAAAGAUGGAAAAGAAAUCUGCAUGGAGUUAGCCUAUAUAGGCUUUUAAUUAUGAUCCUAGGCCAGAACGAUUGGGCAGACUGCCUGCUAUACAUUAUAAAUUAAUUCCAUUCAUUAUUUCCCUACUUCAAGUUUUGGCUGGCCUAAUUAAUGGCUGUUAUAUAAUUCAGGCUUUGACCACCUCCCUGCAAGGCCCCUAAUCACCUGGCACAGAGGCCCAGUGCAGGCAAUUGCCUAGGCCUCCCAUAGUCUGACUUAGACAGACUUAGGCCUCUGAUUUAUGGGCUAGCCCUCCUGAAGAAGAAUGCAUAGCCAAGACAAAGUUCAGCCUCAGGCAGAUUGUGUGCCUGGGUCCUCCUGUGUUGCCUGAAAGCUGUCACCAGAGAUCUGAGUCUCUGGGGUGACCCUAAGUCAGCAUACCCAGCCUUCCUCAGCUUCUGGGGUUCCACUUACCCUGUGCUCUAGGCUCUGCCCUGAGUGUAAGGUGGUAGUUGCUACCCCAGCUAGGUCCUCGGCUGAUCAAUAAGCAAGACAGGCAGCUUGAGUCCCUCUUGCUAUCAGGAAACUGCUCCGCUUCGUGGGGAAUGGAAAGUAAUUAACUUGGACUAGUACUCAUUUCAAAUGAAAAAGUUACACAUUCUAUCUGACUCCUUCAUUUUAGUUCAUGUAGUAAUGUGUAGAAACUAUUUGCAAAGAAUUAGAUGUUAAAAAACUAAUAAUGCCCUUCCUGACUUUAAGGCAAAUUUACUUAUGGCCUAGAAAUUAAUUUGUCAUCUUAUCAGAACGUCAGACAUAAAAAUGCAGCCCUCUAUGUUCACUGAUCCUGCUGGAAAUGCAUCCUCCGGCUGCAGGAGGCACACGGGGUAUCCAUGGCUGAUGAGACAGACACAGACUGAGCAAUUCAGACUCUAGAAUGAGCUUUGGGCCUGGCCAGAUGGAGCCACUGAAAAUUUGCUUUACACGUGCUUCAUACUUCUCAUUCCUAUUGUUCUGUUUACAGCCUUGCAGAGGGUUUUGUGUUUUGAUAAUCCACUGAUGUGAAUGUUGCUGGGUUAAAGGCUUGGGCAUGAACCCAGUCACAAAAUAAAAUUUAAUCCAGUAAAGCAGUCAAUAUAAUACCUAAGUCUAAGUUGAUAUUAGAAACAUGUCUUAUGGACCACUACAUGGUCCUGUAGAAGUGGAAUAUUUUCCCAUUAGUUCAGGGCAUCAAUUGAAUAAUGAAAGAUAUACUUUAGAAAGCAUUUUAAGGUUCAAUGUGUAUUUCUGCAAGUAAAAUUUACUUCUCUAUUCAACUCUUGAUUUAACCUUUUGCCUUAUAGAUAUAAAAAAAAUGAAAUGGUUUCAAUUAAAGAAUAGGAAGAGGAGGAGGAAGUGGGAAGGAGAAAAGUAUAUUCAGGGGUUUAAGAACCAGAAAACACUUUUAUUUUUAAGUAUGAACACAUAAUUCUCUGUCCUAGAAAUAAUCCAUUAAACAAACCUGCUCUUCAGAAUAAAAGACACAAAGUAGACAUUGAUAUUUUGUGACAGUUUGAGAUCAAAUGCAUUUGCCUAUGGCUCUCUGGGCGAAGCAAGGGAGACUGGGGCUAGAGAUGCUAGCAUUCCAUGGGGCAAUGCUGGGAUGACAUUGAUCUAAAGCAACUCUGAAGUUUCAGAUUUUUAAGUGCAUUUGUGAAGCAAAAGAGAAAUGCCAUUAGAGGUGAGGAAGAAAUACAUUCUGUCACAAGAAACACAAAACUCUACCUGUUACCUCUGAGCUGAACUAACAGAAAUAAACAUGUAAGAAGACUGAAUGUGCAAUGGAACUGGUAAAACACCAACCAGCCUAACUAGGUGAAUUUCACCAAGACCAUCAAUUCAAUGAGUCUUGAUUAUGCAGUCAUCUCUCACUCCUGCUCCAUUCUUGUGGAAUUUUAUGCAAGUUACUUGCCUUGUCUACAUCUGGAUUUCUUCUUUCAUGAAGCAAACAAACAAAAACAGAAUUAAACUAGACUUGAUGCUAAGACUGAAAAUCUAAGUACUCAUUUAUUUUGAUGGUAAAUGCAAACUCAACUAGAGCUCCCUUCACUAAACUUCCACAUUUUGUCACUAGCUUAUAAUUAUUCAUUUGGAGCUACUCAAGAUUUCCUGAUUGAAUGUAUAUGUUUCUAUUCUUAACAAAUGGUAAAUAAUCAAAAUUUCUACCCAUAUUUAGCUGAAAGUCUACAUUGAAUAAGGUGCCUAUCAAUCUAACCUAAAAAGGUUUUGUUAAGUAUCUACCCCUCAUGUGUUUAGAUUCUCAAAUUAAAUCAAACCCUUGUAUAACUUUGAGUCUUACAGAGGAAAAUAAUACUCAAUGUUGUUUUGGUUUCCUGUAAUCUUACAAUAGAGCUGCUAUUGAAAUAUACAUGCAUAUAUAUUCAACUAUAUCUAUAUUUGUAUAUAUGUAUAUAUAUUCAACUAUAUUUAUAUUUAUGCCUAUAUCUAUAGAUCUAUUACUCCAGUCAACUCUAUGACUGCCAACACAGGAAAAAUGCAAGCUCAGCUUAGUUAGGCAUCAACUCUCUGUAGCAGAAAAAAAAGGACCAUUCCUUAGCACAAGCAGAUCUUAAUGCAUCAGAACUGGCAUCCUCUCUACUGAGCUGGAGCUCUAAGUUCCAGGAAGGAGCCAUGUUCAACUUGGCUCUUUAUUCAACGCGUCUGUGCCCUGAUGCUUUGCUUCUUUUCAAUCUGGGGGCAAUCAUGAGACAGAUUCUUACUGCAUAGCCCAGGUAAGCCUUCAGUCCAAUACCAGAUCCUUCAUUCCUUGCCUCCCUAAGGCUAGGGUUACAGGCAAACCCACUGAGUCUGGUUCCUUUUGAGGCCCUGAGUUUUUCCAGGUCCAGAGGAACUAUCUCAUCUGUUGCCAACACCUUGCUAGUGUCUGGCACCUUGUCAGGUUUGAAAGCUUCUAUUUAAUUUCUCCCUCUCUUUUUCUUUUCUUCUUUCCUUCCAAUGUCUUCCCUCCCCCCGGCACUCCUUUCUGUCUUUCCACUAAGAAACAUUUAGGUAAAGAAAACUUCCUAUUGAAGAAAGGCAGCAAAUGCUUCAUCUAUGGACUUGGCCUGCUGAUUAAAUUAGUAAUAGGAGGUUUCAUGCUUACUUCUGUAUAUAAGUAGAGUGUGUUCCUGUCUUGAUCUCCCUGUUCCUGAAGCUUUCCUGUGUCCUUUUAAGGUUUGGUGGCAAUUCUCUCUGUUCAUGAUAUGUGGGGCAUCCCAAAGCAAAUUGCAAAGCCAGAACGUAACCCCACUACCUCCUCCAACUUUAUCUUUACUCCUGCCGAACAUCUCUUCCAGAACAGUGGUUUUUAUAUAGCUCUCUGCAGCAUCCUUAAAACUAUAAAAAUGAAAGACUGAGGUCUGAGGACAUAUACUGUAUCCCAUGUACAAAAGCAUGAAAAUAAGUUCUGGGAACAUCAUUGCGCUGAACUCAGUCAUAGUUUACUUCAAAUAGAAGCAUUCUGUCACACUUGGACUAACAGUAAAGGCUCCUGCUUUUGCAGCUUCAACCACUAAGAGACUUCGAAUACAUGUGUUUUUUCUCUCAGGCCCCCACCAUGCAGUAGACACAUGCAUCUGUACUAAAGAAGAAAGUCAUGUUUGAAAACAUAUGCUGUUUACAAGAGUGUGAAUGUACUGAAUUUUAGGGGACAGAUGUUUUUAAUUUCCAGUAUGUUGCAUGUAUCUUAAUUCCAUUAUUUCUCCUAAAGUAUUCCAAAUUUAUAAUAAUUAAUAUACCUCUAAUUUUAAAAUUUUACUGUCCAUUUCAAUAGCAUAUCUUUAGUAACUAUAAAGGCUUAGAAAAUAUGUGCUUUCAAAAUAAUGCUGUGUGCACUAAAGUAAAAAUUAUGUCUAAGGGCUGAGGAAAAUUGAGAUCCUUGUCAUUCUUUUUUCCAUAUGCCUCUGGUUAUUUCCCAUAACUGGAAUGCGAGCUUAUAGUUGAUACCCCUGCCUCUACAAGGGACACUUUUAGCUCUCUGAUAUAAAGUAUCUAACAUCAGAGUAAAGAUAAUGGAAUGCCACCAAAUGUUUCCAUCAUAACAUGGGAUAAUUAGGAUAAUGUAAAAGAUGCCUCAUAGUUUUGUUCAUUUGGAAUGCUGCAGAAUAAAGUGUGCUUUUCAUGGAUACCAAAAUCUGGAUUAUUUUCUAAAGUUUAAUAAUUCAUCUUGAAGUGCCUUUUGUCAUAAUUUCUACAAUGCCACACAGAGUUAAUAACAUAAAAUUAUUAACAAAUGAGAUUUCAGCUUAAUAAACUUCCAUUUAGUAAACAUUUUCUUACUUCACAAAAUAAAACAGAAACAUUUUUAAAUUUUUAUUGCUGGGAUGGUGGGGUUUUUUUUUGUUUUGUUUCAUUUUUAACCAGAAAAUAAAGGGUAAGAGUAGACUGGCACAUAGUAUAUUUUCAAAACUCUUUCUCCAGAGUGACAAUGCCUCUGAAUUUCAUCAUGAUUUCUCUUAGUUAAAUAUAAGGUGUAGGGAGAAAUGAAUUGGAUUGAACAGGUCAGUCAAUGAGUUUGAAGCAAUGUUGGAGAAUCCUCAUUUUUUCAGGUGACUAAUUUGGUUUGUUGUUCUAAAUUUCUUCCUUUGACAAAAAAGCAGAAAUGCAAUGUAGCAUUAACAAGUGUAAUUUUAAGAAGAUAUGAGGAGCACAAGUUCCAGUGUAAAUUGGUGCCUCAGAAAAAGAUGCUUGUGGAAAGACGAAAGAGGAGACAGAGUGACAGAAAUACUUAUGUCGUGUUGGUAGCGGGAGGGGUCAUCUGCAAAUGCAUAUGAAGAGGCCAGAAGAAGAUAGGCAGAGAGCAGAGGUAGAAGGCAGAAACAUCAUCUAUUCCAGGCCAGAAGGGUGAUAUAUGAAAUCCAACUCAGCCUGCAGUAGGCUGUAUGAGGAUAUAUAAGAAGCAAACAGCCAACAUCAAACAGAACUAGAGGACGCACAUGUGGCUUAUUUGGAAAGGAAUUCAGGAUUCUCUUCAGCUGGUCACUUUAGAAUUUUCUUAUUGGAUAUCACUUUACCUUUAAGUAAAUAAAAAUUGCAACAAUCCUUGGAUACAUUUUUCUUGGGCAACAAAUUAUAAUACCUUUAUCCAUACCUUCAUCUUGCUCAACAAAAAUACUAAGAAAUAUUUCAGAAAUGAAAGUAUCAUUUUUUAAAAAAAAGUAUACAUUUUGUCAAAAAUUACUGUAAGAGCAAAUAAAAUCAUACAUAAAAAUGUAUGAAGUUUUUUUAACGAUACUUGGCUCAUAUUGUUUGAUGAAAAUGUAUGGUCCAUUCACACAGGAGAGUAAAAUGCUUAUUUUAAUGGAACACUGUGUCUCAAGUGCUUUGACUCUUUGGUUCAACUUCUCCAUGCCUAAACUUCUGAGAAUGACUAACAAGACGUGGACCUCAGUGCAAUCCAGGCACAACGCACCAGCGCAGUUCAUCCAGGAUAGGUGGGACCCUAACAGUGAGAUUAGAUAUUCAACAGCCUUCAUAUAUAGUCAUGUGGUAUAAAGAACAGAAACUAAAAAGACUAUGUCUGGCUGAACAUUCAGAUGAUAUUGAUGCAUACUGGGGAAUCAAGGAUGGAAGCAACAAUUGUAUAUUGAACACCCACUCUGUUCUAAAACUUAUAUUACAUCUUAAAGCCCCCUGGGAAAAGAAUAGUCUAUGACCCCAAGAAUUUCACAACACCAUGAGAGACUCACACCAAAUAAGGCCAGGCUUGGAUAAGGGUCUUAAACAACCCUUUCAUUUUUAGAAAAGCAUUUCAGAGAGAAAUAUGUAACAUUGAAGCUAAAGUCUGGGCCCCACCCCCACUUACUCCACUAAUAUAUUCUUCUUUCAUUUUAAAUGUCACCUGGAAAUAUCAAAAGAUUUUUAAGUCUCCAGGUGCACAUAUCACAUGUAAUUUACAUAGAUUUCUUGUGCAAUUUUGGAAAAAAUAUGUUCUCUAAUAUGGACAUAUGAAAUAGUGUUAGGAAUGGAAGUAAAUACAGUUUUAGAGGAUAAAAGGGAGGAUGGAGUCAACACACACUGAGCCUCAGAUCUCAUCACUAUCUUAAGCUUGUGCCAAAUUAUUCAACAUUCUUGAUUCAAUGCCAAUUAAACUAUAGAAUAAGUGCAAUUUUUAAAGGAAUGUUUCUCUUUAUCCUCUGGGUGAUAUUUGUUCUGCUUAUUUGUACAGUAAUAACCAUUUUCUCUAUAAGUACUUCACAUUUGUGGAUUUGUUUACAAUGCACAUGUUUGAAUUUUAUAACUAAGCUUAAUUUUUUAAAAAUCAUUGUAUGCAUGGCCCCCUAUUCCAGAAGAAAUUUAACUUUCUCUGCAGUUGUGUGCUUCACUCGCAUGGUUGGAAUGUUGCAGCUGCUUAGCAGCCUCCAGGCAGUGGUAAAGUUGAGGGUUUGUUUAAUUAGAUAUUUUCUUUAUUUAUAUUUCAAAUGAUAUCUCCUCUUCUGGUUA